GUUCCGGUGAUCAGUGUCGGUCCGAACAGUCAAGAGGCUUAGAACCAGAAUUAAGUCAUCUAGAAAAGCCACAAACAAAAACUAAUAGCAAUUGGAUGAAGGUCAAAUAGAAAAUAAAAGAACAAGGCAUAAUGGAUUAAAUGAGCCAAGGCCACAGCGAUGGGUGACUGUACCGGGAAGUGACUGCGAGCUCAGUCGUUACCCUGAUUUUGUAUGGGACCUCAUGAUACCCCAGACCUAGGGAUAAUUGCGAAACUUGAGGAAAUGUGAAACCACAGAAAAGAAUUGAGAUUAAGCUCAAAUAAUUGGAUCAGGGUUCAGAAAGCAAUAGUGUUAUUGGAAAAUCAGAUCAGACCGGUAAGGGGCAAUUU
rnacentral:misc_RNA from 1 species